UGGUAGAUAGCUCAGUGGUAGAGCAUAAACAGGCACUGGUUCGAUUCCAGUUCUACCAG
rnacentral:tRNA from 1 species